rnacentral:rRNA from 1 species
UCGACCUUAGUUGCCAGCAUUCAGUUGGGCACUCUAAGGUGACUGCGGCUAAAGUCGGAGGAAGGUGGGGAUGACGUCAAACCAUCAUGCCCCUUAUGACCUGGGCUACACACGUGCUACAAUGGGCGGUACAAAGGGUCGCGAACCCGCAGGGGGAGCCAAUCCCAAAAAGCCGCUCUCAGUUCGGAUUGCAGGCUGCAACUCGCCUGCAUGAAGCCGGAAUCGCUAGUAAUCGCGGAUCAGCAUGCCGCGGUCGAAUACGUUCCCGGGCCUU